CUGGAAAGAUAUGAAGGAGGUAGACCAUGAGUGGUUUUGAAAGCCAGGUUAAAAAUGAUAAACUUUGUCUUCAAAGCCAUGAAAUUUCAUAGAUACGGUUUCAGCAGGUCUGAGUUUUAGAAAUUAUUGUGAUUGCUGGGUGGAAAAUUAAUUGGGGAGUGGCAAGACUGGAGAUAGAGAGUUGAUAUAUGAUGUUACGGCCCUUUUAUUUUCUAUUUGCCGUCUGAAAAAAUGUAUCUCUGUAAUAGAUGAUAAGGGUAAGUAAAAGCCAUGCCAACAGAACACUCAUGAAAUUAAAAAAGAAGGUCAUCUAUUUACUCAUUCAGCAGAUAGGAGUGCUCUUCCAAAGGCAGAAGUUAACAUAGGAGUAAUAGAAAAUGGCUGUAAUGGUUUGUACAGUAAAGGAACUCAUAGGUUUCAUGGGGUAGUGGUAUGGAAAUCGCUAG
rnacentral:lncRNA from 1 species